UACGUAGGGGGCUAGCGUUGUCCGGAAUCAUUGGGCGUAAAGCGCGUGUAGGCGGUCCGGUAAGUCCGCUGUGAAAGUCGGGGGCUCAACCCUCGGAUGCCGGUGGAUACUGUCGGGCUUGAGUACGGAAGAGGAGAGUGGAAUUCCUGGUGUAGCGGUGAAAUGCGCAGAUAUCAGGAAGAACACCCGUGGCUAAGGCGGCUCUCUAGUACGGUACUGACGCUGAGACGCGAAAGCGUGGGGAGCGAUCAGG
rnacentral:rRNA from 1 species